GUGGCUGGAGGAAUUGGGUACUGGGUACUUGUAGUGGACUGGUUAAGUGGAUCAGCUUGUUCUUCGCUGCACUUGGCUUCACUGGACUGAUGGAUAUUUGAUGAAACCACGUUCGCUAUGUGAUUUGUGGUUGCUUUCUCUUCUGCUUCAUUUGAUUUCAUCCCAUUAGAACAACAGUUGUUUUCAGAUUUUCCCACCUGCGGAUGGCCUGCACUCAAGUCAUUCAGGUUUUCUUGUGGAAAUUUACUUGAACUGCUUCCAGUAUCAC
rnacentral:lncRNA from 1 species